rnacentral:rRNA from 1 species
CCUACGGGAGGCAGCAGUCGAGAAUCAUUCACAAUUGGGGAAACCCUGAUGGUGCGACGCCGCGUGGGGGAAUGAAGAACUUCGGAUUGAAAACUCCUGUCAUGUGGGAGAAAAUUACAAUGAUUGUGCCACAAGACGCAGAGACCGCUAACUCAGUGCCAGCAGCCGCGGGAAUACAGAGGGCGCAAGCGUUGUUCGGAAUCACUGGGUGGAAGGGGAGCGUAGGCGGUGUCGUAAGUCGUGAGUGAAAGGCGCGGGCUCAACCCGCGGACUGCACAUGAAAGUGCGAGAGUCGAGUGAAGGAGGGGUAAGCGGAAUUCCCAGUGUAGCAGUGAAAUGCGUAGAUAUCAAGAGGAACACUAGUGGCGAAGGCGGGUUACUGGACAGUAACUGACGUUGAGGCACGAAGGCCAGGGGAGCGAAAGGGAUUAGAUACCCCAGUAGUC